AUGUGUUUCCUGUUUGCAUUGAUUCUUGUGGCUCCUAAAUGUGAAAAUAUUAAUAUCUUUGAAGUGCCUGAGGUGCCCGUAGAAGUUGCCUGGGAAAAAGUCCAUCCUCUGCAAAAGCCUGAAGUUUUAUCUGUCAAAGUGCCUGAGGCUCCCAAAGAGGUUUUCCCUGAAAAGAAAGUGCCUGUGGCACCUCCUAAAAAGCCAGAAGCUCCACCAGUUACAGUGCCCGAGGCUCCCGAGGAAGUUGUCCCUGAAAAGAAGCCACCAGUGACACCUCCUAAAAAGCCAGAAGUUCCACCUGCUAAAGGUAUUUGUCAUUGA
rnacentral:lncRNA from 1 species